rnacentral:tRNA from 1 species
GGGGAUUUAGCUCAGUGGCAUAAGUACCUGCUUUGCAAGCAGGAGGUCAUGAGUUCAGUCCCCG